CUUUUGGCUCUCUGUGCAGCACCAUGGCGGUUGGCAAGAAUAAGUGCCUUACGAAAGGCGGCAAAAAGGGAGCCAAGAAGAAAGUGGUUGACCCAUUUUCUAAGAAAGAUUGGUAUGAUGUGAAAGCACCAGCUAUGUUCAAUAUAAGAAAUAUUGGGAAAACACUGGUCACAAGAACUCAAGGAACCAAAGUUGCAUCUGACAGCCUCAAGGGUCGUGUGUUUGAAGUGAGCCUUGCCUAUCUGCAGAACGAUGAAGUUGCAUUUAGAAAAUUCAAGCUGAUUACUGAGGAUGUUCAGGGCAAAAACUGCUUGACCAACUUCCACGGCAUGGAUCUUACCCAUGACAAGAUGUGCUCAAUGGUCAAAAAACGGCAGACCAUGAUUGAAGCUCACGUUGAUGUCAAGACUACCGAUGGUUAUUUGCUUCGUCUGUUCUGUGUUGGUUUUACUAAAAAAUGCAACAAUCAGAUUCGGAAGACCUCUUACACCCAGCACCAACAAGUCUGCCAAAUCCAGAAGAAGAUGAUGGAAAUCAUGACACGAGAGGUGCAGACAAAUGACUUGAAAGAGGUGGUCAAUAAAUUGAUUCAAGACAGCAUUGGAAAGGACAUAGAAAAGGCUUGCCAAUCUAUUUAUCUGCUUCAUGACGUCUUCGUUGGAAAAGUAAAAAUGCUGAAGAAGCCCAAGUUUGAAUUGGGAAAACUCAUGGAGCUACAUGGUGAAGGUAGUAGUUCUGGAAAAGCUACUGGGGAUGAGACAGGUGCUAAAGUUGAAUGAGCUGAUGACGAUGAGCCCCCAGUGCAAGAAUCUGUUUAAAAUUCAGAGUUUUAAUGGUGACAAAUAAAAGAUCUUAUUUGUGAUGUUUAAAAAAAAA